rnacentral:tRNA from 1 species
GCGCAUGUAGCUCAGAGGACGAGCAGCGGACAUCCGUCCGUAUACGCAGGUUCGAAUCCUGCCUUGUGCCCCA